rnacentral:lncRNA from 1 species
UGGGUAAGGCUGCUUUCCACUGGCGUUGGCCACCACCUCUCUGAAAUGAGUGUGGUACUCUGAUACUCUUAACUGUGUGGGCCUCUUGGGACUCAGGCUUCAUGGCUUGGCCUUUCCAAAAAGCUGCCAAACAGGGUGCAUGUGUCACCAGAAAGGCUGUUUCCCCCCUGGCCAGUUAGCAAAUAUCUCUUUGAGAAUUACAUGAAUGUGCUGAGCUGUCAGUGGAAGAAAGUACCAGAGAAUGUGGCCCACAGCUCUGUGAGCAGACCUGGCUCUAGAAGCCAGUCCAGGCUGGAGGCCACAGGACUUGUGUUUACCAGAUACUGUCAGCCCAUUAUGGCAUCAUGAUUUCACAUUGAUUAGACAGGUUGCUUUCCUGGGCCACAAACCCAAAUGCUUUAUAAUAACCCCAGUAAACAAAGAAUCUGUUACAACAGUUUUUCACCCCUUGCUUAGUUGUGACAGCCUGGCAGGCAUAGUGGCCCCCAGGAUGACUUUCACUCCAAGGCUGGUCAUUCAGAGCCUUCCUGAGCAUUUCACCAGAUGUGCACUAGUAUUGAGUUUUCUGGGGCCCAAAGGAGGCAGGACAGAAGCACUCUUUACCUCCUGUCACUUCUGAGGGCAGAGACUGUGCCCCCAGCAUUGUGUUCUCACAAACACUUGCCACAAGUACACCAGGUAAAGAAAGGUAUAGGCGUAAUAGCAUUAGGCUGCUGCCCUGCAGAAACUCAGCCUAGUUGGGAACCUGGGAUGGACACAUGGGAAAGAGAAACCUAGUUCACCAAAAUAUAUUGAGGCCACUGUGAAAGAAAUGGGGAUGUAUGGCAGAGAUGGUCAAAAGUAGAAGAGGGGGCAGUCACUGAGAACUGUGGGAAUGGGGGUCAAUGAAGACUCCCUGAAAGAGGUGUGGCCUGAGCCAGGGCCAGAUGAUGGGUGGGUAGAUGGCUAGGUGGGUGUGUGAAUGGAUCGUGGAUGGGUGGAGAGUGGAUUAAUGGAUGGAUAGAUGGGUGGGUGAAUGGAUGGAUGAAUAGUUAUGGUAAGUAGACAAGGAUUGGGUGCUCCAGGCCAUGAGGAAUAUGAAAGAAAAGACACAAAUACAGGAAAUCUUUCUUGGAGAGCAUGGGUAUGACCAGAAAACUCGGGGAAGUUGAUAAAGGGAAUAGAGAAUGGGAUAUAAGAUCAAACUGAGGGCUAGGACUGGAAUGAGGCAGACCCUAGCCAUCUCUGUCCUUGGAACAGUUAUCUGCUCUUUGAGACUAUGCUCAAAACAGAGAGGUCACACCUUUCUGGGUGUUGUGCUUGAGUCUUUCCCUUCAUGCUCUCCUAUGCCCAAAGAGAGGAGCAUUGGCUGCUCUCCUAAGGAGCUUCCUUAGCAUUUUCACAUCCCCUUGCUUCUCUAGCCAUUUUGGAAGCAUAAGCUUGUGUGCCUUCUGGACUUCUCAUUUCCUGUAGUUUUGGGGUAGAAAGGGAGCUUUGUGUGUACCUGCCCAACACUUUGGAGGAUCAGAUUCUCUUCUGUCUCUUCCUCCCUAGACUAAGCCUAUGGGUUGUGAGGCUGGGGAUCUACACCUCUCUGCCUCUUCCAUUGCUAGGCCUCAGCACCCUUCCUUCACAUAGUACCCUUCCCUCCAUGUAGCACCCUUGUUCUCCCUUGUCUCCUUGAUCUCAUGGGUCCCUGAGUUUUCUCUCAGGAGUUCUUUUCCUGUCUCUUUGGCUAGCAAGGGGACCUGGCCAAGCUCCUUGACCUCCAGAAACCUGUUUUCCAUAUCCACGCCCUUCUCUGACCACCCACUUGCUGCUUUGGCCAGUUCCCAAGACACUCUGUGUCUCUUCUCCUGGCUUAGCAGUCUGUAGUUGUAGGCAUUGCCUUCCCUCAGCAAAUGUCUAGUGGCAGUACUAUUCCUGCCUCCUCCCCAGAAUGCAUGCUUUCCUUUACUGCCCUUUUUUUCUCAUUUUUCUUUACCCAUACUCCAAAACCAUGGUGCACGUAUAAGAAAAUUAUGAAUUUAAGUACUCUGCUCCCCCACUUUCGAUGUUUCAGGAGGCUCACUGGUGUAAUACUUGUGGCCUUUCUCUGGCUUGGCAUUCAUUCUUGUCCCAGGACAAACACGGAUUGGAUUUGAUUGCUGAGUUUGGAAAAGAAACUGACUUUGAGAAGGCCAGUCCUCUUCCUUUCUCUCUCUCGUUGUCCAGUCUGUGCACAGAGACUGUGCAUUUGCCCUCUUCCUCUUUGCUGCAGGUGCUACAGGAGCAAAUCCAUGGUAGUCCAGGGUGCUUAAUGCUCUCCAGUCUUGGGAUUUAGUGUUAGUAACCCCACUUGCUGGCAGCUGUCAGCCACAUUUGCCAAUAUCAGCUUUCCAGUAGUAAAGAUUAUAUAUUGGUCUCCCCAUAUCUUAUUUCUCUAGUGGAAAAUUACAUUAAUAGCUAAUAUAUAGCACAUUAAUUAAUUUAGUUCUUACAAUGUUGGCAUGAAAGAGGUAUUAGCGUUAACCCAUUCUAAAGAUAGGCACAGAGAGGUCAAGUAACUAAAUGGUCAUGGCUGAGGCAGGAAUUGGCUUCAUGGAGUCUGGCCUCAGAGACCACACUGUUGGACUCUACUAUAUUGCCCCUUAAAGGGGGAUGUUAUUUAUUGGGUUUCUUCAAGUCCCAAUAUAGUCUCCUUUCCUAUCCUGAGUAUAAAGCUGUAUUUUUAUUUGUUUAUGUUAUAGAUUAUUUAUUUUUGUCCUCUAUGUUUUGUCCAGAUAUUGAGACCAAAGUUAAGAAGGAGAAUGUGGUUCUGAAACACAGUGAAUCUAAAGGGAGAAUUCUCUGGAAGACUCCAGGGUGAAAUUUCCAGAGGUCUGUGCAUUUGGGGAAGUCAGAGGAGGCAGCAGCAGGAGGGCAGAGCAUUCUGAACAGCCUGAAGACAAGCAAGUCAGUCAAGAUGAGCCAAGCACCAGCCAGGCCCCAGCAAAAGAAGAGAAAAUGCUUCCCAGGAGAGAGAGAGGCCGCAACUAUAUGGGACUCAGGGGAUGUGAUUGCAGUGCCAGUCCGGCAGCCCCCAGUAAAAAUCUCUGUUCAUGUGCUGAGUUUGACAAGGCAUUUGGCUAGAGCUCCACCCUAAUUAUAGACCAGAGAAUCUAUACCUGGAGAAGCAGUACAGGUGUAGGGAGUAUGGGAAGGCCUAUGCUUGCAGCUGCC